rnacentral:tRNA from 2 species
AGGUGGUUAGCUCAGUGGUAGAGCUUCUGCCUUACAAGCAGAAGGUCACUGGUUCAAAUCCAGUACCACCUA